CAAGAUCUAACUGGGACCUCUGGUGACCAGUGGAAACCAGAGAAAGCGGCGCUGGCUCUGCAGCUGCUGUGUGCGUGUCGGCGAUGCCUCGAGUUAAACGGAGACUGCAGACCGAUAAUCGGCUUAAUACAGCAGCUGGUUCCAGCCUGUCAGGAGUUGCUGUUGGAUGAGCUGAUGAUGGGCGUGGCCUUGCUCUUGUUGGAAGCCCCUUCAGAUCAGCUGACCAGCCUUCUCAGACUUGCACUGAGUUUGGUCCCCGAACAAGCGGAGGCUUCGCCCUGGUUGAGUC